AUUGAACGCUGGCGGCAGGCCUAACACAUGCAAGUCGAACGGUAACAGGAAACAGCUUGCUGUUUCGCUGACGAGUGGCGGACGGGUGAGUAAUGUCUGGGAAACUGCCUGAUGGAGGGGGAUAACUACUUGAAACGGUAGCUAAUACCGCAUAACGUCGCAAGACCAAAGAGGGGGACCUUCGGGCCUCUUGCCAUCGGAUGUGCCCAGAUGGGAUUAGCUAGUAGGUGGGGUAACGGCUCACCUAGGCGACGAUCCCUAGCUGGUCUGAGAGGAUGACCAGCCACACUGGAACUGAGACACGGUCCAGACUCCUACGGGAGGCAGCAGUGGGGAAUAUUGCACAAUGGGCGCAAGCCUGAUGCAGCCAUGCCGCGUGUAUGAAGAAGGCCUUCGGGUUGUAAAGUACUUUCAGCGGGGAGGAAGGGAGUAAAGUUAAUACCUUUACUCAUUGACGUUACCCGCAGAAGAAGCACCGGCUAACUCCGUG
rnacentral:rRNA from 1 species